AACUCUUAGCGGUGGAUCACUCGGCUCGUGCGUCGAUGAAGAACGCAGCUAGCUGCGAGAACUAAUGUGAAUUGCAGGACACAUUGAUCAUCGACACUUCGAACGCGCUUUGCGGCCCCAGGUUCCUCCUGGGGCUACGUCUGUCUGAGGGUCG
rnacentral:rRNA from 1 species